rnacentral:rRNA from 1 species
CCGGCGACCGGCGCACGGGUGAGUAAUACGUAUGCAACCUGGCCGUGACAGAUGGAUAACCGGGAGAAAUCCCGCCUAAUACAACAUAAUGCCGGGAGGGGACAUCCCCUGCCGGUCAAAGGGGGCGACCCCGGUCAUGGAUGGGCAUGCGGCGCAUUAGGUAGUUGGUGGGGCAACGGCCCACCAAGCCGACGAUGCGUAGGGGUUCUGAGAGGAAGGUCCCCCACAUUGGAACUGAGACACGGUCCAAACUCCUACGGAAGGCAGCAG